CAUGAAGGUUAUCUUACUACUUGGAACAAUACUGCUAGCAUAAAGUUACAUCACACAUCAUCUUCGAUCUCUUGGCCUUCUUCUCUCUCUUCUCUCCUUUCUACAGGAUCUAAGGCCUAUAAUCUGCGUAGUGUCUCUCUAAUCUACUUUGUACCGUUUGCCGCUGUCUUUUAUUAUGCCUCAUACCUCGCGACCCAUGUGUGACUAUUGGCUCAUUGCAAAGAAGAUCAGGGGUGAUCAACGAUAAUUGAGAUAUUUUUAUCUAUUGACCUCUGCGUAAUGGAUUUCUUGAUCCCUUUUAGUGGAUUUUCUAAU
rnacentral:sRNA from 1 species